CCUACGGGAGGCAGCAGUCGGGAAUAUUGCACAAUGGAGGAAACUCUGAUGCAGUGACGCCGCGUGCAGGAAGAAGGUUUUCGGAUUGUAAACUGCUUUAGAUAGGGAAGAUAAAAGACUGUACCUAUAGAAUAAGCUCCGGCUAACUACGUGCCAGCAGCCGCGGUAAUACGUAGGGAGCAAGCGUUAUCCGGAUUUAUUGGGUGUAAAGGGUGCGUAGACGGGAAUUUAAGUUAGUUGUGAAAUCCCUCGGCUUAACUGAGGAACUGCAACUAAAACUGAAUUUCUUGAGUGCGGGAGAGGAA
rnacentral:rRNA from 1 species